UUCCUCACAGCCGUGACUCAUUUUGGGUCGUGACAGAAACCCUAGUUACAGUGGCCUCCCCCACCACCGACUCAUUGUUGCCGUCUGUUCGUCUAACCGUCGCCGCCGGUCGCGCGAUUGCCACCUGGUUCGUCGUGCUCGAAGGCCCGCCACAAGUUCGCCAACGCCAGCAUCUCCAGGUCUUGCUCCGCGGCUCUUCGCCCGUCGUCCUCCAUCGCCAGCGUUCUUCGCCAGCUUCCGUCGUCCGUUACUCUCCCUCGAAUCUCUGCUCACUGCCUUCGCCGAAGCUUCUGUUCUCCUACCGCUCUGAUCAUGGAUAUGAUCUUCGAGCUCGGCUUUGUCUCGGCCAGCUUGCAGCUUGUUAAGAAGGAGCUAUUUGUUAUACUUGGUGCUGACGAAGAGCUGAAGAAACUGGAAAGGAUCCUGCUGAAAGUUUAGGUUCUUUUUGAUAGUGUGAAAGCAAUGCAGCACUACCCUCUCGAUUACAAGAUGCAGCAACUAUGGCUUCAUGACACUCAGUGUGUGUUACUUGAUGCUGAGGACUUAAUAGAUGAAAUCUCAAAAUUUACUCCCAACGACCUCAGCUAUCUCAUGGGUGAUGGCAACCGGUUGAGAAACUCUGUCUUAGCUGGGCUUAAGCUUAAUAUUCCAUCUUCCAUUGUUGAUAUGAGACAGCAAUUGGAGGAUAUUGAGAGGAAGGCGGAUGCCAAUUUUAUGAAUGAGUUGUACAAAAUCAACCAGUUUCAGUCUAUAAGCAAGCUGCAAUCCAGUUCCCUGGUAGAUGCAUCCUGUGUAAUUGUGGAAAAAAUUUUAUCAUUGUUGUUGGCUAAUGACAUAAUGAAUGAAAAUUUUUCAGUCAUUGCAUUAGUGGGAAUGAUGGGAGUAGGAAAAACUACACUAGCCCAGUUUGUCUACAACAAUGAUGAUGUGGCGGACAAUUUUGAAUUAAGAAUCUGGAUCUCCAUUUCUGAUGAAGAUGCAAAAAGAAUUACAAGGUCGAUGGUUGUAGCUGUUUGUGAGAAAAACUGAGUCGUCUGAUAUGGAUCAAAUUCAAGUUACACUUCAAAAGGUACUUCGGAAAAAGAAAGUUUUAAUUGUACUAGAUGACAUUCGCAAUGAAGAUGCAAAUGAUUGGGAGAUUCUUUGCUUGCCAUUCAAUGUUGCUGCUAAGGGGAGCAAAAUAUUGGUGACUACACAAAGUAUGUUUGUUUCAGAGAUGGUUGCCACAAUUCCUGUGUACCAUGUGCACACUUUAUCUGAUUAAGACUGUUGGAGAAUAAUAGAGAAAAGAGCAUUCUCAAGCUUUAUUCCGGAUAAUUCCAAACGCUCGGUGUUGGAGAAAAUUGGAUUUAAAAUUGCACAAAAAUGCAACAAAUUACCAUUGAUAGCAAAGAUGUUUGGAAAUGUUUUGCGAUUUAAUCACGAUGAAAAGAAGUGGGAAGCCAUAUUGAAAAGCAAACUAUGGGAACUUCCAGCAUCUCGAAAUAUACUUUCAGCAUUGAAAUCGAGUUAUGACCAGUUGCCUGUUUGUAAAGAUGUUUUAUUUACUGUUCUAUUUUUCCUCUAAAUUAUAAAUUCAGCAGAGAUGAGUUGGUCAAGUUAUGGGUAUCUGAAAGCUUCAUUCAACAAAGCGGAGUAAGAAAUGCACAAGAAAUUGGUGGAGAAUAUUUUGAUAUGCUAGUUCAGAUGUCAUUUUUUUCAACUCUCACCAGUAGAUAACGGUAACCAUCAAGUAUUUAGAAUGCAUAACUUCAUUCAUGAAUUUGCUGAAUUUGUUUUUGAUGGGCUGGGCAUUAGAGUGGAAGAUGGCAUGUCAUCGCCAAUUUCCAAUCUUAAAGAUGUCAGACAUGCAUCUGGGACUACGUUCAAACAGAACACUUGAGCAUUUUUAGUAAAUGUGAUCGAAUGAGGACUCUUAUUUUGUUUUUUAAGGAUGGUAAUAUCCCUGUCAAGAUGAUUCCUUUGGCGAAAUCAAUUUCAGUUAUUUGAAAGUUCUAAACUUGAGUUUUUCCGAUAUCAGAGAGUUACCUGAAGUUAUUGGUACAGCAAAACACAUGUGCCAUCUUAAUGUAUCCAGCACUCCUAUUAAGGAGCUACCUGAAUCAAUUACAAAUUUGAAUGGGAUGGAAACGUUAAGUUCAACAACUGCAUCCACCUACUCGAAUGGCCCAAGAACAUGAAGAAUUAAUGAAUGAGAUUAUGCAUUCUAAAUACUUGAUGGUUACCGUGAUCCACUGGUGAGAGUUUGAAAAAAUGACCUCUGAACUAGGAUAUCAAAAUAUUCUCCACCAAUUUCUUGUGUCCUUCUUACUGAGCUUUGUUGAAUGAAGCCUUUAGAUACCCACAACUUGACCAACUCAUCUCUGCUGAAUUUAUAAUUUGGAGGAAAAAUAGAACAGUAAGCAAAACAUCUUUGCAAACAGGAAGGUAAUUGAUCAUAACUCGAUUUCAAUGUUGAAAAUAUAUUUCGAGAUGCUGGAAGUUCCCAUAAUUUACUUUUCAAUAUGGCUUCUCACUUCUUUUGAUCGUGAUUAAAUCGCAAAACAUUUCCAAACAUCUUUGCUAUCAAUGGUAAUUUGUUGCAUUUUUGUGCAAUUUUGAAUCCAAUUUCCUCCAACACUGAGCGUUUGGAAUCAUCCGGAAUAAGGCUUGAGAAUGCUCUUUUCUCUAUUAUUCUCCAAUAGUUUUGAUAAGAUGGUACAUAAGAAUUGGCAACCAUCUCUGAAACAAUCAUACUUUGUGUAGAAUUGCAUGUGUGUAGCUUUCCCGUUUCUUGGCCAUCUUCCAAUGUUGAAAGAUCUUCAUAUUGAAAAGAUCGGUAAAUUGGAGUACGUUGACUAUGAGUCUUACCUGGUUAUCAGUCUUUGCGAGCUCUUACAUUGUGCAAUAUGCAAGACUUAAGAGAAGGCGGGUGACAUGGCUAAGCUUGAGAAAAUAGAAUUUUCUGAAUGUCCCAAGCUUAAAUGCUUACCAAGGGGACAACUACCAAGCUCGGUGAAAUGUUUAAUCAUCUGAAAUUGUAUCAAUUUAAAAGCUCGAUGUAUGGACCGUGGGAGUGAAGAUUGGAACAAGAUACAGUCAAUCCCUAAAGUUGAGAUUGACCAGCAGGAUUGUCAGCGCAACAUCUGAUAUAGGACAGAUAAAUGCCAGGUGGCAGCCUUGUUGGGUGGAGAAUAUGCUGCAGCAAGUAACUCUCUUUAUUGGCCUAAAAUCAAUGAAAGACUCGUAGGAUUAUCAGAUGCUGUGAUGAAUAACAGUUGCCCUGUACUUAAAUGAACUUGCUGAAGCAGAGAUGCUUGUCAAAGAAAGAAAAGGUUGAAGCAUUUUGGUUUGUGAUUAUCGUUGUUGCGCUAGAUGCAGGGAGCAAUUAUUGGUACUACAAGAGUACAAGGCAUGUAAAAACUGUUUCAAAAAAGUAGAUAUUGGACAAGAAUGUUAUUGAUUUUGAUUAGAUAAGCUGUGGUUACCAUGUGAAUUUCAAACUCCAUUUAAAGUAGCAUAUACUAUUUUGGUUUCUUAAUUAAAAUCUAUGGUAUGCACCAUAGGUGUAGACUUCAAUCGAUAAUAGUUUAUGGGACUGGCAAUUUACUUAAACAAUGUAUUAUUGA